GAUGAACGCUGGCGGCGUGCUUAACACAUGCAAGUCGAACGGAAAGGCUCCUGCUUGCAGGGGUACUCGAGUGGCGAACGGGUGAGUAACACGUGGGUGAUCUGCCCUGCACUUCGGGAUAAGCCUGGGAAACUGGGUCUAAUACCGGAUAGGACCACAUUUUGGAUGGUGUGGUGGAAAGUUUUUCGGUGUGGGAUGAGCUCGCGGCCUAUCAGCUUGUUGGUGGGGUAAUGGCCUACCAAGGCGUCGACGGGUAGCCGGCCUGAGAGGGGGUACGGCCACAUUGCGACUGGGAUACGGCCCAGACUCCUACGGGAGGCAGGAGGGGGGAAUAUUGCACAAUGGGCGCAAGCCUGAUGCAGCGACGCCGCGUGGGGGAUGACGGCCGUAGGGUUGUAAACUCCUUUCGCUAGGGACGAAGCGUUUUUGUGACGGUACCUGGAGAAGAAGCACCGGCUAACUACGUG
rnacentral:rRNA from 1 species